rnacentral:rRNA from 1 species
AGAGUUUGAUCCUGGCUCAGAUUGAACGCUGGCGGCACGCCUAACACAUGCAAGUCGAGCGGUAACAGGACCUGUAGCAAUACAGGUUGCUGACGAGCGGCGGACGGGUGAGUAACACGUAGGAAUCUACUCGAGCGGGGGACAACCAAGGGAAACUUUGGCUAAUACCGCAUAAACUCGAAAGAGAAAAGUUGCCGCGA